AAUAACUAAAAGUGCGGAAAAUUCGAUUUCACGAAAAAAUGUGAGCUAAAAAGUUAAAUGUAUUAGCAUAUAAAUUAUAUGUUACAAAAUAUAAAUUAUAGAUCUUUUUAGGGGUGAUAGGCCUAUCAAAUGUUUUGAUAUCUUGAUUUAUAAUAAAUAUAUUAAGUAUUAUGUCAAUUUAAAAAUUAUAAGGUUUUUAAAUAAUACAAUAUAUAUUUCACAUAUAGUAAAUGACUUAACAGUUAUUACUUAUUAAUUAUAAAAUUUUUUAUUUAUAAUAUGUAUAUUAUAUUGUAACACUGUACAUAAUUUCUAGUAAUAUAGAUAAUGUUACUAUCAGUAUAUAAUUAAUUUUAGUUAAGGAACUCGGCAAGCAUUUUACUCAACUGUUUAUCAAAAACAUGCCCUUAGUUAUUUUUAAGGGUUACCUCUGCUCAAUGGGAGACUAAAUAGCCGCAGUACUUUGACUGUGCAAAGGUAGCAUAAUCAUUUGAUUCAUAAUUGGAAUCUAGUAUGAAUGGGAAUAUGGGUAAGUUCUGUCUCGCUAUAAUUAAGAGAAGUUAUUUAAUAAGUGAAAAUACUUAUAUAUUAUAAAAAAGACGAGAAGACCCUAGAAAUUUUAUAUAUAUGUAAUUAAAUUACAGUCUAUUUUGUUGGGGCGACAGGGUAAAGAUAAUCAUACCUAAAAUAGUAUAAAAACUAAUUGUAAAUAGUAAUUAAAUUACUCUAGGGAUAACAGCAUAAUGUAUAUUAAGUUUGUGACCUCGAUGUUGGACUAGGAUAACUAUUACUUAAAAGGCGAUAGUGAAGGCUCUGUUCGAGCUUUUAACUCCUACAUGAUCUGAGUCAGACCGG
rnacentral:rRNA from 1 species